rnacentral:rRNA from 1 species
AGCGUACACGGUGGAUGCCCUGGCAGUCAGAGGCGAUGAAGGACGUGCUAAUCUGCGAUAAGCGUCGGUAAGGUGAUAUGAACCGUUAUAACCGGCGAUUUCCGAAUGGGGAAACCCAGUGUGUUUCGACACACUAUCAUUAACUGAAUCCAUAGGUUAAUGAGGCGAACCGGGGGAACUGAAACAUCUAAGUACCCCGAGGAAAAGAAAUCAACCGAGAUUCCCCCAGUAGCGGCGAGCGAACGGGGAGCAGCCCAGAGCCUGAAUCAGUGUGUGUGUUAGUGGAAGCGUCUGGAAAGGCGCGCGAUACAGGGUGACAGCCCCGUACACAAAAAUGCACAUAUUGUGAGCUCGAUGAGUAGGGCGGGACACGUGGUAUCCUGUCUGAAUAUGGGGGGACCAUCCUCCAAGGCUAAAUACUCCUGACUGACCGAUAGUGAACCAGUACCGUGAGGGAAAGGCGAAAAGAACCCCGGCGAGGGGAGUGAAAAAGAACCUGAAACCGUGUACGUACAAGCAGUGGGAGCACGCUUAGGCGUGUGACUGCGUACCUUUUGUAUAAUGGGUCAGCGACUUAUAUUCUGUAGCAAGGUUAACCGAAUAGGGGAGCCGAAGGGAAACCGAGUCUUAACUGGGCGUUAAGUUGCAGGGUAUAGACCCGAAACCCGGUGAUCUAGCCAUGGGCAGGUUGAAGGUUGGGUAACACUAACUGGAGGACCGAACCGACUAAUGUUGAAAAAUUAGCGGAUGACUUGUGGCUGGGGGUGAAAGGCCAAUCAAACCGGGAGAUAGCUGGUUCUCCCCGAAAGCUAUUUAGGUAGCGCCUCGUGAAUUCAUCUCCGGGGGUAGAGCACUGUUUCGGCAAGGGGGUCAUCCCGACUUACCAACCCGAUGCAAACUGCGAAUACCGGAGAAUGUUAUCACGGGAGACACACGGCGGGUGCUAACGUCCGUCGUGAAGAGGGAAACAACCCAGACCGCCAGCUAAGGUCCCAAAGUCAUGGUUAAGUGGGAAACGAUGUGGGAAGGCCCAGACAGCCAGGAUGUUGGCUUAGAAGCAGCCAUCAUUUAAAGAAAGCGUAAUAGCUCACUGGUCGAGUCGGCCUGCGCGGAAGAUGUAACGGGGCUAAACCAUGCACCGAAGCUGCGGCAGCGACGCUGAUGCGUUGUUGGGUAGGGGAGCGUUCUGUAAGCCUGUGAAGGUGUGCUGUGAGGCAUGCUGGAGGUAUCAGAAGUGCGAAUGCUGACAUAAGUAACGAUAAAGCGGGUGAAAAGCCCGCUCGCCGGAAGACCAAGGGUUCCUGUCCAACGUUAAUCGGGGCAGGGUGAGUCGACCCCUAAGGCGAGGCCGAAAGGCGUAGUCGAUGGGAAACAGGUUAAUAUUCCUGUACUUGGUGUUACUGCGAAGGGGGGACGGAGAAGGCUAUGUUGGCCGGGCGACGGUUGUCCCGGUUUAAGCGUGUAGGCUGGUUUUCCAGGCAAAUCCGGAAAAUCAAGGCUGAGGCGUGAUGACGAGGCACUACGGUGCUGAAGCAACAAAUGCCCUGCUUCCAGGAAAAGCCUCUAAGCAUCAGGUAACAUCAAAUCGUACCCCAAACCGACACAGGUGGUCAGGUAGAGAAUACCAAGGCGCUUGAGAGAACUCGGGUGAAGGAACUAGGCAAAAUGGUGCCGUAACUUCGGGAGAAGGCACGCUGAUAUGUAGGUGAAGCGACUUGCUCGUGGAGCUGAAAUCAGUCGAAGAUACCAGCUGGCUGCAACUGUUUAUUAAAAACACAGCACUGUGCAAACACGAAAGUGGACGUAUACGGUGUGACGCCUGCCCGGUGCCGGAAGGUUAAUUGAUGGGGUCAGCGCAAGCGAAGCUCUUGAUCGAAGCCCCGGUAAACGGCGGCCGUAACUAUAACGGUCCUAAGGUAGCGAAAUUCCUUGUCGGGUAAGUUCCGACCUGCACGAAUGGCGUAAUGAUGGCCAGGCUGUCUCCACCCGAGACUCAGUGAAAUUGAACUCGCUGUGAAGAUGCAGUGUACCCGCGGCAAGACGGAAAGACCCCGUGAACCUUUACUAUAGCUUGACACUGAACAUUGAGCCUUGAUGUGUAGGAUAGGUGGGAGGCUUUGAAGUGUGGACGCCAGUCUGCAUGGAGCCGACCUUGAAAUACCACCCUUUAAUGUUUGAUGUUCUAACGUUGACCCGUAAUCCGGGUUGCGGACAGUGUCUGGUGGGUAGUUUGACUGGGGCGGUCUCCUCCUAAAGAGUAACGGAGGAGCACGAAGGUUGGCUAAUCCUGGUCGGACAUCAGGAGGUUAGUGCAAUGGCAUAAGCCAGCUUGACUGCGAGCGUGACGGCGCGAGCAGGUGCGAAAGCAGGUCAUAGUGAUCCGGUGGUUCUGAAUGGAAGGGCCAUCGCUCAACGGAUAAAAGGUACUCCGGGGAUAACAGGCUGAUACCGCCCAAGAGUUCAUAUCGACGGCGGUGUUUGGCACCUCGAUGUCGGCUCAUCACAUCCUGGGGCUGAAGUAGGUCCCAAGGGUAUGGCUGUUCGCCAUUUAAAGUGGUACGCGAGCUGGGUUUAGAACGUCGUGAGACAGUUCGGUCCCUAUCUGCCGUGGGCGCUGGAGAACUGAGGGGGGCUGCUCCUAGUACGAGAGGACCGGAGUGGACGCAUCACUGGUGUUCGGGUUGUCAUGCCAAUGGCACUGCCCGGUAGCUAAAUGCGGAAGAGAUAAGUGCUGAAAGCAUCUAAGCACGAAACUUGCCCCGAGAUGAGUUCU